CUUGCUUUUAGUUGAUAAGAAAUUGAUAAAUAGAAGUUGAGAGAAGUUAUUACUAAUGGUCAGGAGGUUUUAUUGAAACCCUUGACCUGCAUAGAACAACUGGCUUAUACCUACUAGAUUCCCCCCUUGAGCUACAUAUGAUUUUAUGAUCAUAGAUUGGGUUAAGAGUAAGAUUUUCAUUGUACAAACUACAAGGAAGGACAUUGAAUAUUUGGCCUACCUAUUUUCUGCUAAACAAGCUUCUCAAUUUACCUCUUUCCAAGCGUUCGAGUAGCUUCUUUGCAUUUGGAAUAUCCAUCUCGGUAAGCUUCUUGAG
rnacentral:misc_RNA from 1 species